rnacentral:rRNA from 1 species
AACGAACGCUGGCGGCAUGCCUAACACAUGCAAGUCGAACGAGACCUUCGGGUCUAGUGGCGCACGGGUACGUAACGCGUGGGAACCUGCCCUUAGGUUCGGAAUAACUCCCCGAAAGGGGUGCUAAUACCGGAUAAUGUCUUCGGACCAAAGAUUUAUCGCCUUUGGAUGGGCCCGCGUUGGAUUAGCUAGUUGGUAGGGUAAAAGCCUACCAAGGCGACGAUCCAUAGCUGGUCUGAGAGGAUGAUCAGCCACACUGGGACUGCGACACGGCCCAGACUCCUACGGGAGGCAGCAGUGGGGAAUAUUGGACAAUGGGCGAAAGCCUGAUCCAGCAAUGCCGCGUGAGUGAUGAAGGCCUUAGGGUUGUAAAGCUCUUUUACCCGGGAUGAUAAUGACAGUACCGGGAGAAUAAGCUCCGGCUAACUCCGU